ensembl:lncRNA
CUGAAAAUGAGGCAGAGGUCCUCUCUGCCUCCACACCUCAGGUUCAGAGGGACAGCUUUGUCACCUGGACAACCCCAUCUGCAGGGACCUGGGGAAGAGUCAGGGGGGAACCGCAGCAGCUGCGGAGCUGAGAGUUUGCACUGUUCACCCCUGACUCAUCCCAUGGAACAAGAGGAGCAGCAGGAGGAGAACCCACAUGUCCUGAUGAUGGAAUAGAAUUUCAAGUUAAAAGGAAUAAGGGCUUGUGGAAAUCCCUCACACUAUCUUUAGCCUACUGCUUUUGUAAUUGUGUCAAGUCUGGAUGGGGAGAGAGAGACACCACUGUUGUCACCCAGAGAGAUGCAGUCUGUCAAGUCUCAUUUAGGCUGAUUUUAACAUGCUCCUGAUCCAAGGCUUCUGGUGCCUUGUGCUUCACUUGGAAAUAACAGAAAACGCCUCUUUGUCUCUUUGUGGUGUGAAAUCAGUCGUUCUCACUCUGGUUAAGCUCUACAGGGCAAAGCAGAAUGGCCACUCAGAGAGUAUUAACACUCCCAUAAAGAACAUAUCUACAUUUUUAAGAGGAAAAAAAGACCAUGUAGAAAUAUGUGAUGUCCAUCAGUCACAAAGACCUCAAGCAGAACAAGGGUUUAACACUGAAUUUGAACUAUCACGCUCAGCAAAAACUCUAUGCACAGACUGUGUCCUUGUUGCUGUUUCUGCCGUUUAGAAGCAAAAAUUAAGUACACCUUAAGGAUGAGAAAAUCCUUUUCUGUACUCUGAGAGUUAGGCCAACCACAAGCACGAUGUCCUGGCAAGGAUAUCUUGGAUAUGCUCAGGAAAACCCAAACUAAAUAUGAAUAUAUCAUAGAAUCAUAGAAUAACCUCAUGUACAUGUAUAUUUUAAAGUCUAGAUGAUGUAGAUGUUAGAGGAUGCACUGGGCAAUAGGGUGUGAUGCCAGAGACUCUAGCUGAUUGCAGUGAGACUGGGCCCACUACACUAACACAUCCUGACCAGUGUCUUUACAACAUGCUGACCAUUGGCAGGUUGUAGAAUUGGGUCUUACAUCAUAUAUUACUUUCUUCAGCCUCUGGGUGUUCACUUUGAGAGUGAAGUUGGGAUUCUUAUGAUGUAACUUAGGCAGGAUAGAAGUUAAACAGGACUGUGUCGUACUUCUAUGCAUCAAGGCUCCUUCUAUAGCACGUGGAGAAAGAAAUCUCCAGUUUAUUUGGGAACAAGAUUGCAUAGAAAAGAAGGAGAAAAAUAUAUAUUCUGAAUCUCCAGUUAAUUGCACAAAGCAGUACUGGAAGGGGCAUGAUCUGCAAUAUCUGUCUUCUGCAAAGCUUCUGAGUAUUUCAGCCCUCUCUGCCAAGUGUUUGAUGGAAUUAAUAUUCAGAUCAUCCACUCUGGGAGAGUCCGUCCUUCAGCCAUAGCAUCAGAAAGCUCGCUAUUCCCUGAGUUUUCAUUCCUAACUCUCCAUCUAGAUCUUCCUUUCUGUAAUGUAACCCUGGCUUCUCACCUGGUUGUCGUACACCCCAUGAUGUGGUGAUCCCAUGGCAGUGGAAAAGUUAACUUUUCCAUCAAAAGAUGGCAUUCAUUUCAGCCACGGAUGUAUGUUGAUUUACAGUCUAAUGAAAAAGUCUUGGAAAACUCUUCUCCAUCAAGAAAUUCUAGAAUUGAAGCCCAUGUAUAACCCGUCCUCAGCUUUAGCUGAACUUGUGGUAGUCCCUUCUGUCCCCAGAGCCCUUAGCCAGCAUUCUUUUAUGUUUGUUUAAUUGACUCAUCCUCAGGGAACAAAAGUUCCAAUUACAAGUACAAAGGGUUUUGUGAGCAGGACUGAGCUUUGAAAAGCCCACAGAAUUGAAAUGUGUAUUGCUUGCAAAAUGUCAGACUCUGUGAGGCUCACCCACUUCUAACAGAGUCCCGUUCCUCUUGCUAUGCUCCUGCAUGGGCAUGGAGUGCAGUUCCUGGAAGCAGAGUGUAUCUCCGGGUAAUACCAUUUUCUUGGUGUCAGAUGGAUGUCUGGCUGUUAUUUUUCAAUUUUCCCUGUCUGUGGGUAUUUAGGACAGAUCACCCUUUGGCUCAUAUUUGGGUUAUAGUCCUAUGUGCCCCAGCUUUCUUCAUUUUUUAAGUGUCUUUUCAUAUUCACAGGAAAAAGGAGAAAGAGUGGACUCAUUACCAAUAUCCAAGGGAAAGUUUUACUGAUCAUCUAGUUACAGAUAGUGUGCCUCCAGAAAGGACAGAAAUGGCAGUAAAGGAUGGGCCACCUCUGUAGUCAACCAACAUCUUUAUUCUAAUGGGUUUAAAACAGAAGUUUUUGGCCCAUGCAAAGCCACUAAACACAAUAAUUGAUGUCUUUCAUGUGUCCUGGUAAGAAGCCAAGCAUCAAAGAGCAACUCAAACAGUGCUGCUCAGAACAAGCCUGUUCUAGAGCUGGCUUGAUGCAUCUGCCUCAUGCAGGCCUUAAAACACAUCCUCAGAGCACGUCCAUACUGAUGACAACAGAGGCUGAGACUUUGGAACACGUUUUAACCCUGGGAUAGUGCCUGUAUUUCAUCUCAGAAGGACAUAUAGCAGGAUGUGAAUGGAUGUGAAUACUUUGCUCACAUCCAUGGAAGUACGUAUGCACACCUGGGAUGUACUAGAGUGAAGGGAGCGUAUAAACAGGAGGGGGAACGGCUGUUUACAAGGGUGGAUAGUGACAGGACAAGGGGGAAUGGUUUUAAACUGAGACAGGGGAGGUUUAGAUUGGAUAUUAGGAGGAAGUUUUUCACACAGAAGGUGGUGACGCACUGAACAGGUUGCCCAAGGAGGCUGUGGAUGCCCCAUCCCUGGAGGCAUUCAAGGCCAGGCUGGCUGUGGUUGUGGGCAGCCUGGUCUGGUGGUUUGCGACCCUGCACAUAGCAGGGGGUUGGAAUCAGAUGAUCAUUGUGGUCCUUUUCAACCCAGGCCAUUCUGUGGUUCUAUGAUUCUAUGAUUCCCUCUCUUUCCUAGGUCAAAUGGGAGACAGAGAAAGGGAGAAAUCUGCUUCAGGGCGGUCUGUCCAUUCUCUGCCCUAGGAGGCAGUCAGACAACCUCAGACACCUUCCAAGUCACCAAAGUCAAUUUUAAUAAAUAAAAACCACAAUAAUAAUACAAUAAAUGGAGGUAUCUCAGUCAAAAUGCAAAAGAGAAUAUUACUGUGUGGUAUCUUACUGGUUGGUACAGUCGGUGAAUGAUUUGACUUGACAGGUCACCCUCUAAUGACCUGCUCUCCCAUGGCUUUCCCAAAACCAUAUGUUAAGGGGGAACAACUUCUGGGCCAGUGCUCAUUUAGCUUAAGAAAUCUCCCCCGCUUGAUUCCUUGCCAUGAAACAGAGUUAAAUUGGGACCCAUGCUGGGGAGCUGCCUAAUCAGAUAUCUAAUAAGGAAGAACUGACCUUGAACCACGUUUCUAUUGUGCUGGGACUGCUGUGGCACUGGGAGAGGUAAAAUACCCUUUCAAUACCUCUACACCUGUCCCUGAGACCUCUUGGUAGGAGGUCUUCUGGUUUCAGGGAGUUCCUGGCAUGAUCACAAGUGCUGGCAGAGAUGCACAUUGUGAAGCCACCCUUGAGUAACCUCCUAAAGACCCCUGAAGGGACACUUGCUCCUUGGUGACUCUCUUUGACAUCAGCUAAGAGGGAGGAAAUGAUAGAUUAUUAACCAGGGAAUUCCACGAAGCAGAGGUCAAUCUGCAGUUCAGGCCUUAGUGGGCUCUGGAUAUCAUAGGACCAGCUUUCUCCUUUGCCCACUUACUUCUGAUGUGCACGUUUAUUACUAGAGCAGAUUUAUGACGGCUGAACCCCGACCCCUCAUUAUGCAAUGUCUGAAUCAGAAGUUGGUGAAAAAAGCACUGGAAAAGUGAAGUCUAUGAAGUCCCAUAACAUCCUUAGCUGAAAGGAUAAAAAAAAAAGGGAUAUAUGUAAAGGAAGUUACAUUUGUGAUGUGGAGGCUCAGUAUAUAACAUAUAAAGUUCUGAAAUCCAUUCAGACACCCUGAGCUACAAAGAACAUUCAGGGAAAGCAUCAUUAAAUACUUGUCCUGCUUUUACAUUCUUUCUUAGGCAUCUGCUAUGGACCAUCAAUAGAAGACAUUAAAUAAGAUGGGCCGUUAUUUCAACUAAGCCAGUGUUGCUCCCAUGAGCACUGAAGAAUGGAAUGAGAUUUACAAAUAAACUUUCAAACAGCCACUGGGAACCGGACUCCAAUUCUUUCCAGUAGCUGUUGUUUUGUUGUGCUGGAUGUGCUCCGCUGGUCAGAACAAAUACUGCCUGUUUGGUACCCUGAAAACCCUCUGCAGACCCUCUGGUCCCUGGGCUGACAAGUGAAGUGACAUAAUUAGCCAACACACAGAUUAGAUCCAUGCUCUGAUCUCUUUAAUGCAUACAGGGAAAAAAAGAAAAAAAAAAAGAAAAAAAAAGAAAGAAAAAAGGAAAUUUUAAAAAGCAAAUGAGCGUUUCUCACAAUUAAAAAGGAAGGGAGAAAGAUCAAUGCAAAACAAGACACGAAAAAUCAUUUCAUGCAACAAUCCAAUAACAGGAAUGUUCCCAACAGCACAUUGGUAGGAUUUUGGUCACAUUGAACCCGUCUUUCUCUCUUUAGACUGUUCCAUAGCCUCAGAGAAUUUAUUGGAAAGUAUUGUUUCCUGAAAUUCCUUUCUCGGUAUUCACUCUAAAUUAGCUCUUUUCUUAAUUGUCUCCCAUUAUUUUUUCCCUUUCUCUCAGUCCUGGUCCACUUCUUCACCGCUGCCAACUCUUGCAAUUGUACCGUAAGUCUUGCAAUAUUUAGUGUUUUACUGUAAUCCUCAGCAUCUGGAAGCAAGUGGUUGUGCAAGGAUUCCAGCUUUCAUUAAAGAAGACUUUAGCCUGAAAAUGUGACUGGAGUGCACUGUAAAGAGAAAAAUAAAAAGGGAAAGGGAAAAGAAAAAAAAGAAAAAGGGAAAAGAAAAGGGGAACGGGAAAGGUAAAGGGAAAGAAAAAAAGAAAAAGAAAAGAAAAGAAAAAAAAGGAAAAGGAAAAAAGAAAAGGAAAAGGCACUACAUGGAAUAAGAAAUCAAACCUUGAACUUGAAAGUAGUGAUGCCAAUUAUAAACCUACCUAAUCAACCAAAAGUUGGUUUGGUUGUCUAAAGUGGUCAUCUGCUGCCCUGAAAUUUUAUCAGAAAGAUGUUGGCAUCUCCAUAGGGUGAUUCAACAAACUGCUUUUUUGGUAGGACUUCAGGAUGACAAAAAUCACUUCCCAGAGGGGUGGCCCUCUCUUUCUGGCUUUCUCAGGAGCCUCGACAGCAUCACAAAAGGCUUCACUUAUUUCUGAGUCUGUUCCAUAAGAUCUAUUUGCCCUGGUAUAGUGAGAAACAAGUCCAAGAUUUUAACAGUGCGUACUGCAUGUUCUGGGUUUACUUAACUAUACGUAAAUUUGUGUUAAACUCAGCACAACUGGGUCCUAGUCUAUAUGCAAGUUGCCUUCAGGAUAUCAUAAAUAAAAAUAAAGAAUGAAGACGUCAAGAAUAUGGGCAAAGUUCUCCCUUAUCUUGUAACAUCUAGCUUCUGGUCAACAUGAGAAGACAUUUUGUUGUUAAUUAGUAUACUGCGCUUUCCCAUAAAAGACAAUAGCCACAGAGAAAGGUCAACAACAAUGAUGACAACCCCAUAAAAUCCUGAGAGAAGAUGAGAUUGUGCUGUUCUGCUGGCAGGGAUUAGAGAGCAAGGGAAUUCUCUGGCAUUGACUUCAUGCCAAGUAGUUCAGGACCUUUUUAUCCACCUCAUUGGAUUAUCCACAGGAAGCCUUCUGACUCAUUAACUCCAUUCAGAAGGUCAAAUAGGAUUUUCAGCAACUUUAACCUCCCCUCAGCAAGUGGUUAUGGGCUGCAGAGAUCUCCCUGAUUUCUGUCACAGCGCAAUGAUCUCGGAAAAGAUAUCGUGGAAAACUUUGGCUUUGCUUUAUUUUAUGAGUGUUUAGCACAUAUAUAUUUUUUUUUCCACAAAAUAUGAGGAUACAGACUUGGGGAUUUGCAUCCCUGCUGGGGAUACUUUAGAACUGUAACAGCUUUCUUCCGUGGAGCUCUGGUAGGAAUUUAUGUAGCAUGAAGACCUUCAUGGGAACUGUAAAACAGGACUAAGAUAGGAUGGGUCACGUGAAGAGCAGCAGUACCUUGGUCUGCAUAGGUGUAACUCGUUUCAUUCACCGAAGGAAAAUUACUUUUUGGAAGCUUUUGAUCUACACCCAGAGGAACAUUGCAGUGUUCUUGUUGAAUGCUCCAGGGAUAAGAUAGUAGCAGACAACAAAAUGGAGACAGGCACCCAGAGAACCAUGAGAAUCAGCUGUGAAAUCAGCCGAGUGGGUUGGACGUGUCUUUGAUUGCUGAGUUUGGAGAGCCUUAAAACUUGGAAGAAACUGUAGCACAAUCCCUACAGGCAAUGGAGGGCACUGGGAAGGGAGCUGUCAAUACUCUGAGGGAGGCCGAAGUGUGGACCAGUGGUGGGACGUCAUUAACCCAACUGCCCUGCACUGACUGGUCACAGCAGCGUCCUGCUAUGUGAUAAAGAAUCAUAGAAUCAUGAGAUAUCCCAAGUUGGAAACGACCCGCAAGGAUUGCUGAGCCCAACUCAUGGCUCACACAGGACCACCCAAAAUUCAAAAGAGUCAUCCAAACACUUCUUGUACUUGGGCAGCUUGGUGCUGUGGACACUUCCAUGGCAUUUUUGAACUGCUUGUCAACGGAGUGUUCAGAACACAUCUGGGCCAGGCUUUGGAUAAGGUUGCUAUGGAACAUGGCUGUGCAUUAAGGGUUUUCAUAGGAAUCCUGACCAUCCCCAACACGGACAGUCCCUAUGCCGUUCCCUGAUCCGUGGCCAGGAGAUGAUGGGGAGAUGUUGGCCCAAACCCAGGACAGGCAGCACAAAAACUGCAGGGAAUGGCUCACUGCUGGCCAUGACGUCAGCCAGCACCCCAGCCCUGUUUCUUUAUGAGCGUAGCUGUGGCCCAUGUGUGGGGGGAAUCUCUCCCCACUGCAUUUCUAAACAGAGCGUGAGUGUUUUGACUCUGUAACAUCUCAAGCAGCUGUGCUUUGUUAUUAAUUUCUGUGCUGUCUGGUUUGCAUUCGCACCUUGGGAAUCAGUGCCUUUUUGUUGGGUCGGAUCAGACCAGAGACCUCGAGCUCUGCUAUCACUUAAUCAGUUGUUUUGGUAUCAGGUUCCUACUAACCUUGGAAAAAGACUUGGGCAUUGGGUAUGGAUUUUGUGAUUAUGUGUCUUCUGUCCUGUGGAAAUCACCUUCUCUGUGCUAUACUGCUGCUUAAAAAAUGCUACACACAGUGUAGGGAACCAAAGAUGUUCAUUAAGGAACUUGGAAGCUGUUUCCACUCUGCAUGCAGCUGGAAUUUAGUAGUGUUUAGUAGAGACUUCUACAUAGAAGUCCAUGCACUGAGUCCUCUUACCAAAGGGGGAAAACAUCUCCUGGACUCAUGGAUGUAUACAACUUCAAAGAUCUUUGUGUUAUGUAAUACAGAUACAAGGAUAUAUCUGCCUUAGUAGAAGGCAGUGAUCACCCUGGUAUAGAAACACUGAUCCAUUCGUGGUGGUGUUUUAGAAGACAAGUGAGAGAUCAUGCUGAAAACACCAUGAAAGCAAUUUGGUUUCCAAAGUGAAUGCCUUCAAAGUCAGAGGCAGAAACAGCUUGGGUUCUGUGCAUCAAAAGGAAGGUUUUGCACGAAAAAAAGAAAGAAAGAAAGAAAGAAAAAAGAAUCAUAUGAAAAAGAUCACAUGAAAAAAAUACAAGGAAGAAAGUAUUCUGCAACCUGGAAGGAAAGGACAGGAGGGGAAGCAAAGCAGGGCAGCUGGGCUAGGAAAAAUGAGGUGAGAAGUGAGAGUAGUUUGCUGCUUUCCUGCAGGGCAGGACCUCUCUCGUAGGGACUGCUGUUAGAACCUAGAUGACUCUUUGCAAGAGGCUUCAGCUGUGCAUGAGUUAGGAAGAUAAAUGCAGGAGAACUGGGGUGAGAUUGAGCUGUUCUGUGAAUGAAUUUCUGCUUAAGUGACCAAAUCGAUCAUUCUGAAUUCCAACCCUUUCAGUCUGUACACGGCAGUAGGAGGGUGCAAAAGGCAGCAUUGCAGAGAUGCAUGAACCUCAAAAAUUAGCCAGAGCCCAAAGGAUUUACAUACACUCUUGUUACUUGGGGAAGAGAUACUGGCAGCAGGAAAAGGUGUGCUUAAUUGUGCUUAAUGACAGCCUAUUGACCAAAUCCUCCCUCCUCCUUUGCUGGGAUUUAUUUAUCUGUCCCUAGAAGACGAGGCUGUCCUGGUGCUCCUUGUAUGCCACCAAAACGUGAAGGCUUCAGACAAUGCAGAGGUUGCAGAAGAAUCAUGGAUGAUAAUAUGCCUUAGAGUGCAGUUAUAAAAAUGAGGUGAAGAUGGGAGAACAGCCCAGCUGGGCAAGAGGAGCCAAGAAUGGUGGUAUAGGAAGGGUUGGUGCAAUGGUCUGAAUGUGCCUUGCGGCUGUAUGGGGGGCAUUGCAUGGUGGGCACUGCAUGGAAGCUGGCAUGAUCUACACCUGUGCCCUAAUUCAGCCUUUCUGCAGGAGUGC